CCGCUGUCCCGAAGUACUAAUCUCCUGUAAUUCUCUGCCUCAGCUAAUUGUGACUGCAAUCUCCAAUCAGACAAAUUGUUAGAGUGGUUGCAACUGCUAGAAAUCCAAGAAUGUCAUUUGAAUCCAUGGCUUUAAAGCCUCCUUUGCACCCGACCUAUGAUUUGAAGGGAGUCAUCAAGUUAGCCCUUGCUGAGGAUGCCGGGGGUCAAGGGGAUGUGACUAGCAUGGCCACCAUUCCUGUUGUGACAUGGAAGUGGAAGCUAAUUUUUUGGCAAAGGAAGAUGGUUUCAUUGCUAGCCUUGCGCUUGCAGAUAUGGUAUUUCAUGAGGUUGACCCUUCUC